GAGUUUGAUCCUGGCUCAGAACGAACGCUGGCGGCAGGCUUAACACAUGCAAGUCGAGCGCUUCCCUUCGGGGAGGAGCGGCGGACGGGUUAGUAACGCGUGGGAACAUACCCUUCUCUAAGGAAUAGCCACUGGAAACGGUGAGUAAUACCUUAUACGCCCUUCGGGGGAAAGAUUUAUCGGAGAGGGAUUGGCCCGCGUUAGAUUAGAUAGUUGGUGGGGUAACGGCCUACCAAGUCUACGAUCUAUAGCUGGUUUUAGAGGAUGAUCAGCAACACUGGGACUGAGACACGGCCCAGACUCCUACGGGAGGCAGCAGUGGGGAAUCUUGGACAAUGGGCGCAAGCCUGAUCCAGCCAUGCCGCGUGAGUGAUGAAGGCCUUAGGGUCGUAAAGCUCUUUCACCAGGGAUGAUAAUGACAGUACCUGGAAAAGAAACCCCGGCUAACUCCGUGCCAGCAGCCGCGGUAAUA
rnacentral:rRNA from 1 species